UAACACAAAAUGGCCACUGCUGCCGAAAAUGUCAAAAAGAGGCUUUGGUCACACAAAUUCAAUAACCUUUUAGAAGAUGAGGAAAAGGUCAUAAAGAAAUGUGAAACACACCCCAACACAGGAGCUGGUGAAAAAGACGCAUGGAACACACUAUGAAUAAGGAACACAUGGAACUCUCUACAUUGAUGAACUAAGUUAUAAAUAUGAAGGAUUCACAAAGGCAGCAUUAUUGAGAGAG